GCAUAUCAAUAAGCGGAGGAAAAGAAACCAACAGGGAUUGCCCUUAGUAACGGCGAAGUGAAGCGGCAACAGCUCAAAUUUGAAAUCUGGCCUCUCUCGGGGUCCGAGUUGUAAUUUGGAGAGGAUGUUUCGGGUACGGCCCGGGCUUAAAUUUCUUGGAACAGAAUGUCACGGAGGGUGAGAAUCCCGUCUGGAGCCCGGGCACGGCCUAUGUGAAACUCCUUCGACGAGUCGAGUUGUUUGGGAAUGCAGCUCUAAAUGGGUGGUAAAUUUCAUCUAAAGCUAAAUAUUGGCCAGAGACCGAUAGCGCACAAGUAGAGUGAUCGAAAGAUGAAAAGCACUUUGAAAAGAGAGUUAAACAGUACGUGAAAUUGUUGAAAGGGAAGCGCUGGCAACCAGACUUGCGCGUCGGGGUUCCCCCUUGCUUCUGCUUGGGCUACUCCCCGGCGUUCAGGCCAACAUCGGUUUCGGGGGUUGGUUAAAGGCCCUGGGAAUGUACCUACCCUCCGGGGUAGACUUAUAGCCCAGGGUGUCAUGCGACCUCCCGGGACCGAGGAACGCGCUUCGGCUCGGAUGUUGGCGUAAUGGUUGUCAGCGACCCGUCUUGAAACACGGACCAAGGAGUCUAACAUCUAUGCGAGUGUUAGGGUGUCAAACCCUUACGCGGAAUGAAAGUGAACGGAGGUAGGAAGCCUUAAGGCUGCACUAUCGACCGAUCCUGAAGUUUACGGAUGGAUUUGAGUAAGAGCAUAGCUGUUGGGACCCGAAAGAUGGUGAACUAUGCCUGAAUAGGGUGAAGCCAGAGGAAACUCUGGUGGAGGCUCGCAGCGGUUCUGACGUGCAAAUCGAUCGUCAAAUUUGGGUAUAGGGGCGAAAGACUAAUCGAACUAUCUGGUAGCUGGGUCCUGCCGA
rnacentral:rRNA from 1 species